rnacentral:rRNA from 1 species
CCUACGGGAGGCAGCAGUGGGGAAUAUUGCACAAUGGGGGAAACCCUGAUGCAGCGACGCCGCGUGAGUGAUGAAGGAAUUCGUUAUGUAAAGCUCUAUCAGCAGGGAAGAAAAUGACGGUACCUGAGUAAGAAGCCCCGGCUAACUACGUGCCAGCAGCCGCGGUAAUACGUAGGGGGCAAGCGUUAUCCGGAUUUACUGGGUGUAAAGGGUGCGUAGGCGGGAGUGCAAGUCUGCUGUGAAAGGCGGGGGCUCAACCCCCGGACUGCAGUGGAAACUGUACGGCUGGAGUGCAGGAGAGGUAAGUGGAAUUCAUGGUGUAGCGGUGAAAUGCGUAGAUAUUAGGAGGAACACCAGUGGCGAAGGCGACUUACUGGACUGUAACUGACGUUGAGGCUCGAAAGCGUGGGGAGCAAACAGGAUUAGAUACCCCAGUAGUC